UGGAUAAAUGAUAACAAGUGGAGGCAUAGGAGUCUUGGAUGAUGAACCCUCCAUGUCUGGAACUCUGAGGUCCAG
ensembl:snoRNA